rnacentral:lncRNA from 1 species
AGAUCGCAUGGAUUAGUGUUUAAAAGUGCAUUACUUUUAUUUUAAAACCAUUGUGCUAAUGUAGCUCAGUCUAUCUAUAAUUGAAAGACGAUCCUUAUUCUUAGAUUUAAACAUUGGCCAGUGACCUUUCCAACUUUUGGAGAUUUCCAGAACAUAAAGAAAAGAAAGCUUAGUUUAAUUAAAUGCUGUAAGCCAGCACAGUUCCUUGUCUGCCUUAUUUGCUUAGCAUGUUUCUACAAUAGGUAAUGAUAAUUUUCCCCCAAUAACUGAGGUCAACAGCAGCAAAUUCCAGUGCCUCUGCAGCCAGGCAUAUGUAUAGGACCCUGUGACCUGAUCAAGGCCAAAGAAGUUUCCAGCCUCCUCAGAUCCUCACUGGUGCUCAGAUUUCUGUGAUUAUCAGUCACCUCUUCAUCCCAGCCCUGUUCUCUUCUGCCGUCCCUCUGACACAAGAACAGAAAAUGAAAUACCGCAUAUUCUCACUCAUAGGGUACCCCAAUCAAAUAGAAAAACAAAGCAGCAAAUUCUGAGGAAAAGCCCACAUGGAAGGGGAGGUAGUUCCUGGUUGCACACGCUGGAGUGACUUACCAGUGUAGGAGCCUGUGGACACUGCUUUUCCUGUCACCAACAAAGCUUUGCAGGCAGCUGAUGCUACGCCUAAGGAAGAAGGGAGAAUCUCUGAGACAAAAGCAUUAUUGGCAGCUGCUGGGACACCUCUGGAAUUCCAGUCAUGGUGUCAGCUAGCCAUUAGCAGCUGGUACUUGUGAGUGGUUGUUGAUCUGUCUAAUAGUGUGAAUAGGUAAUUCCUGCAACACUGCUGUGGCUGAUUACUCCAUCCAUUGGAAAUCAGGCAGGCUAGGACACCUAAGGCACACAGGCCCUCACUGGGUGCCAUAGAACUGUAACCAAAUCCAGGUUCAGCUGCUCACUGCUC